UACGUAGGGGGCAAGCGUUGUCCGGAUUUAUUGGGCGUAAAGAGCGUGUAGGCGGCCAUACAGGUCCGUUGUGAAAACUGGAGGCUUAACCUCCAGACGUCGAUGGAAACCGUAUGGCUAGAGUCCGUAAGAGGAGAGUGGAAUUCCUGGUGUAGCAGUGAAAUGCGUAGAGAUCAUGAGGAAGACCAGUGGCGAAGGCGGGUCUCUGGACAGUUCCUGACACUGAGGCACGAAGGCCAGGGGAGCAAACAGG
rnacentral:rRNA from 1 species